UACAGAGGUCUCAACCGUUGUUCGGAUUCAUUGGGCGUAAAGGGUGCGUAGGCGGUCGCGCAAGUCGGAUGUGAAAUCUCAGGGCUCAACCCUGAAACUGCAUUCGAUACUGCGUGGCUAGAGUGCUGGAGAAGAGACUGGAAUUUACGGUGUAGCAGUGAAAUGCGUAGAUAUCGUAAGGAAGACCAGUGGCGAAGGCGAGUCUCUGGACAGCAACUGACGCUGAGGCACGAAGGCCAGGGGAGCAAACGGG
rnacentral:rRNA from 1 species